UUAAAACUGUUCUGUUCUAACAGAAGUUCUGAAGCAUGUAUCCUAAAUUUGUUCUCAGUAUUGCCGAGUGCAUGGAGCAAUUUCUCACUCAAGAAUACAUUGCCCGAAGCAUAUUAAGACUCCAUCACGUGAUUCAGAAGAUACAUCCGUCUAUUAAAACAUGGCAAUAGAAUCAGGAGAUCAUCAAUUGUAAAAGUUAAAGCCAUUCAGAGGCCAAAUAUAAGAUCAACCCAGGCUACUGCAGCACAUCGACAUGACUUUCUAGAUGAACUACAUGUUGCAUAUCUUGUUAUUGUGCUCUCCUCGGCCAAACAGACCAAACAAUCCAUGCUACGGUCCCGUUAAACCUUGAAAACAAGAAAUUAAGGUUGCACUUUUAAACAAUCAGAAAGUGGAUCAAGUAAUAAAACUGGAUCUUCACAAACCAUACAUCAAAAUCAAACCUUAAGGGCGGACGAAGUACCGUCGUAUUUUGUCGAGUAGUGAGGUGGGGAGGCGCAUAGGGGCAUGAAAAUCCACCGCAUGUCAACUCCGGGGAAGAGAACGAGGCCCUUUCCGCCAUCAGCAGAACCAACAAAGAUUGACCCGUGCAUGGCUUUGCGCCACAUCAAUUAGUCAGGAC
rnacentral:lncRNA from 1 species